ACGUGUUACAAUGGGUGAUACAGAGGGCCGGCCGCUGGCAACAUCGGUCCAAUCCUUAAAGUCAUCCUCAGUUCGGACUGGGGUCUGCAACCCGACCCCACGAAGCUGGAUUCGCUAGUAAUCGCGCAUCAGCCAUGGCGCGGUGAAUACGUUCCCGGGCCUUGUACACACCGCCCGUCAAGCCAUGAAAGCCGGGGGGCGCCUGAAGUCCGUGACCGCGAGGACCGGCCUAGGGCGAAACUGGUAACUGGGGCUAAGUCGUAACAAGGUAAC
rnacentral:rRNA from 1 species